rnacentral:rRNA from 1 species
GAUGAACGCUGGCGGCGUGCUUAACACAUGCAAGUCGAACGGUAAGGCUCCAGCUUGCUGGUGUUCACGAUUGGCGAACGGGUGAGUAUCACGUGUGUGUCCUGCCCUGCACUUCCGGAUAAGCCUGCGUAACUGGGUCUAAUAUCGGAUAGGAUCCUGGUUUCGAUACUGUGCUGGAAAGCUUGUUCGGUUUGGGAUAGGCCCGCGGCCUAUCAGCUUGUUGUUGGGGUAGUGGCCGACCAACGCCGCGACGGGUAGCCGGCCCUAGAGGGGGGACGGCGACAAGGGGACUGAGAGACGGACCAGACUCGUACGGGAGGCAGCAGUGGGGAAUAUGGCACAAUGGGCGGAAGCCUGAUGCAGCGACGCUGCGUGCGUGAUGACGGCCUUCGGGUUGUAAACUCAUUUCACCAUCGACGAAGGGUUUCUGACGGUAGAUGGAGAAGAAGCACCGGCUAACUACGUG